rnacentral:rRNA from 1 species
UACGUAGGGUGCGAGCGUUGCCCGGAUUUACUGGGCGUAAAGGGCGCGUAGGCGGCCUAGCAAGUCACUUGUGAAAUCUCCGGGCUUAACUCGGAACUGCUAAGUGAAACUGCUGGGCUAGAGUGCAGAAGGGGCAAUCGGAAUUCUUGGUGUAGCGGUGAAAUGCGUAGAUAUCAAGAGGAACACCUGAGGUGAAGACGGGUUGCUGGGCUGACACUGACGCUCAUGCACGAAAGCGUGGGGAGCAAACAGG